AGUGACAUAGUUGGAUCAUAUAGUGGGUCCAGUCCUAGUUUUUUUUUUCUUUUUUUGAGAAAUUUCCAUACUGUUUUCCAGAGUGACUGUACUAAUUUGCAGAUCCACCAACAAU
rnacentral:pre_miRNA from 1 species